UGGGGACCUGGAGGCUUUAAUACCUGAGCGGUGGGGCAAAGGCUAAGCAGCGGCCCUGGGGAAAGUCGAUGAUGAUCUUUGCUCUUUCAUAGCCACCUUGAUAUAGUGUGGCAUCAGUUUUUACUUUGCCAAAGGGCAACACUUCUGUACUUUUGCAAAGUUGAGAGGCAAACAAAGUGCUUUUCCUGAUUCAUCUCCAGUGUUGGGCAGAGGAGAGGGCACGGUUCUAAAGAAGGCCGCUCAGACGUGCAGGGCGAGUGGGAAUUCUCCGACAAAGCAGCAGAAGUCACGUGGGUCCAGCCCCGAACCGGGCGUUACGGAGGCAGAAAGCACUGCCACUAGUUCCUCCGAAGCUCGCACGCUGGAGGGAGGCGAGCCCACAAGUUGAGUUCCUAAAAUCAUUAAAGGGGUUCCUUCCUGCGUCUGAUCAUGCAGUUGCCUUUUCUUGGACCGCCCUUGGCCCUUUGUUACCUGUCUCUUCAGUCCUUAUUUGCCUGUCAGAGUCGAGCUCAGAUCCUCUUCCUCCAGGCAGCCCUGCCUGCUCAUUCCGGCUGGCAAUGAGGUCUUUUCCUGGCUGUUUACACCGGUGUUUUACCGUGGAAUGUGACCCUUGCUUGGAUACUGCCUGGCAUUUCCUAAUAAAAGCGAUCAUUUUGUUGCACA